GUUAAUCUGUUAUCAAUCUCUUAUUUUCUUCUUUGAGUUCCCUUUCCAAUAGCCUGUGUUGUGUUUAAGGAAGGGGGUCAGGGCAUGUUCUAAAUCCUGGGAGCAAUCAUCAGGGAGUGAAGAAAAUUAAAGCAGCUCGCAACGGCAAUAAUUAGACAAAGAGACAGGGAAUGGAGAAGAAAUGGAACAGUAGAUGGCAGAGAAAAAAAUUAAUUUUAUUUCACAAAGCCCUGUGAAAAGAUGAAAAGCAGUUGAAAAACUAUAUGUGAGGUGUGCCUAGGACCCCAUUUCUAUCCAUAGGGACAGGGGACAGUGUGAGCUGAAUCAUAGGUGAGAACACAUAAGCAAUAAAAAUAUAUUCUUCUAGAAUAAAAAUGCUUAAACCUUCUAGGUUCAGAGAGACACAAACAUUUCCUACCCUUUGAGAUGGUUACUGGAGCUGAUGGAAGAGGCCAGGCAGACAGUGAGAGUGAAUUAUGUUCACAGACCCAGAUAGCGCUCACCGACCCAGAUAAUGUUCACCCAUGGACAAAGCAAAACCACCAGGUUUUUCUCUUAUAUUUGCCUUUCCCACCUUGUUCUACUCAAAAUAAUCAGAGGCCUAUCCCUGCACCAAGUGAUGAGAGAAUUGUAGACAGUGAAGACACAGACCCGAUGUUCAAAGAAGUCCUGUCAGAGAGGAGACCUCUAGUACUCCUGGGUAUCUCAGCCUUUGAAAUUUGACUGCACAAACUGCCUCUUCUCUCGCUUCUCCUGUCCUGUGAAUCCAAGUUCCAUGCUCACGGAGGACUCUGGCUCUUAUUUCCAAACCAUCUCUGGCCCAUGCUUCUUUGGCACUUGGAGACAGACACAAGUUACCAAUUCACCUCAUCCUCCCUCAGCAAUUCAGAACAUCUUCCUCCUCAGGGUGAUCACAGGGUAAGAUUAAUUAUGCUAAUCAGCCUCCAUAGACUGAUACAAUUAACCAGAGCAUGAGAUUGCUCCAGAAAUCUAUAUAGGAGGUAUUUACCUGCUGGUUUUCAUUUCACUGUCCAGCACCAUAAUGGGGGUGGUGGGGUGGUGGUGGUGGUGAGUUUUUGCUUUUCCACUAUAAGGAGCACAUGCUAACAGCCUCCAGUGGAAGUUGCACGAAGUUUUCCAGGGAAUGUCUGGCCACUUAAUGUUCCCUCUUGGAACCCACAGUGAAACAUUUCCUUUGGGCUAGACAGCUUCAUUUUAAACAAUUCUUUCUUCUUGGCAGAACAAAAUGAAGUGUUUAUAGUUUCAUACAUUUAAAAACUCCUUUAAUUCCCAUAUCUACUCUGCUACAUAUUAAAGAAAUCUUAAUAUUUUUCUUUAUUUAAAAAUUAGGGAAAUUACUAAAAAUUUAGAUCACGCAUCCCUAACACAUGUUUCUUGGCAUAUUCUGAAAGUUGACUUUAGAAUGAAAGUUUACAAUCUAAGAUUGGGACUCUUCAAUUUCUACAUUUCCCUCUUGAAGGGUCAUAAGAGGUGUUACCAUAUUAAAGAUUCUGAAACCUGUAACAAAGAAAACAUGUUAAUCACAGUCUACCCAAUAUUUUGCAAAUUUAUUUUAUCAUAAAUAUUUUAAUUGUUUCUCAUAAAAGAGACCAUAAAACAAAUAUUUGAGCAUAGUUAUUUUAUUAAGAGAAGAUUUCCAAAAAUAUAAGUGAGAAAAUAGGAAAAGUAAUCAGGAUAGGGAGAAAGCCAACGUAUAUUAAUGAACUGGUGACCGCUCUGUACAACCAACCAGAGUUCCAUCUUGCUGGAAACCCCUUAAAAGAUCCAUGUAGAAUCCAUCAUAGAACUGUCUUACUGGAGAAUAGAAAGAAUGAGACAUUUACUCAUAGCCUCUUUUUUUUUUUUUUUUUUUUAGUACCAGGGAUUGAACUCGGGACCUUGCGCUUUCAAGGGGGCUGGUGGAACCACUGAGCUAAAUCCUGGCCCUUACUCAUAGCCCCUUAUCAUCUAAGAGUUGCCCUAAGGGUCUUAAACCUCUGUAUGUCUGAGUUGAUCAAGGAUGGAGAGACAACAGGGCACACCUUGAACAAGACACACAGACAAGGUGUGGGGGAACUGUCCUUAGCAGCAGUUCUGAAAUUAGGAAGGCUGAAGGUACGUGGUGUGGUUUUUGCAAAUUCUUUCUGCACCAUAUAACCUUUUAAAAAUAUUUUAGAAUGCUAAUUUAUUAACAUUAACAUCUCAAAACUUGAAUUUUCUGUAUAUAGCUCAGGAAACACUGCUGUGUUUGCAAUUAAUGCUUAAAAAAACCCUGGUUCUCCCCUUUUUCAUCCUGAGAUUAUGAAACACUAAACUUCUUACUCCUUUGAACUUAAGCAGUGACUACAGCUGACAAAUAAAUUAACAUUAUAGUGGUGUGUGUUCCUUCCAAGCUGAGGCAGUAAAAACCUCCAUCCAACUCUAUCUUUUGUUUCUCCUGCACUGACAACCUUGGAAUGUAUCCACUGAGAUGGUUACAAGAAUGAAAUAGACUGGAUCUCAAAGAGAUCUUGGGAGAGACUUCCCCAUGGUACUACCUAACCUGUAAUAAACUUUGAAUGAACAAGAAGUCAACAUUUGUGUGUUAAUCUAUUGGAAUUUAAGGUUUUGUUUUUAAAAAGAUAAGCCUAUCCUAUCCUGAGAAAUGUAGCAGUCUUAGAGAACCCAGUCACAGCUAAUGUGAUAUAGGAUAUUCCUUGCACAGAAUGCCUGAUACAGGUCAGCUUAUGUUAUAAUGGAAACAGAGGAGACAUCAAGGAAAGACUGAACUGUUGUCUAUUCAUCUUCGUAACUAACAAAAACAAAGGAAGGAGUCAGGUGAGGGACCUUAGUUCUGCAUCAGUGUUUUGUUUCUGAAAAAAUAGUCAAGGGGAAGAUGUUCAGGUUUUAGGGAGCAGAUAUGCAUCAAACUCUUUUUGAAAAGGGAAAGGGUCCUGAGGAACUUUGUUUCUGUGUCCUGGUGCUGACCUGCGCAGUGCAAUUCCAGGCAGUGCUGGCCACACAGUCCAAUGUGAAUGGUGCACCCUGAAUUUGGGCAAUGUGCAGUAUAUGUGAGUGACCAUACUUAGGAGCCCUAAAGAAUAAGAAGAUAAGCAGGAUCUAUGGGUAUGAGCUCUGGGCUGUCUAUACACUGACAUCUCAUAUGAAAAGAAAAUACUCUGUUUAAAUUGAUGUUUUUUCUUGGUUUCCAUUACCUGUAGCUGAGCUUAUAACCCUUUGACUCUCUGAUCCUUUCCCCUAUGGGUAGCAGAAUAUUGUUUCAUUUCAUUACCCAAGACAUAGGAAAAAGAAGUCAGCUCUGCCUGGAGGACCUCCCCCUCCCCAAUUCCCAGUGGGUUUGUAGAACUGAUGCAGAAAUAGAAACUUAGAGGUGCAAAUUUUUCAUUUAAAGCAAAGUAAUAAAUGAUUAAAACAACUAUAUUCAUUGCAUGUUAUUUAAGUGCCAGAUUGUGAGGUUUACGUAAAUUAUCGCAGUCUCACAACUGUGCUAUGAU
rnacentral:lncRNA from 1 species